UCCUAUGUGAUCAAUCCUCCAAGAAGUAACAGCCACAAAUACUUUACCAUACAUAAUAAUUACAAGAGGGAUGCGGAGAGUGGAUUCUGAAGUAAAAAGAAACUGAAGGGAAGUGAACACUUGGAAGAAAAAACUACACUGGAGAUGCUCUAGAGAAAUAAAAUCGAGUCCCUUGUGUGCGGUGUGGCAGGUGUCUCGGAGGAGACGGCGUAAUGGCUAAAACAGAGAGCACCCAAGUGGCCAGCACGGAGUUGCCAAACAUCGGAGUUCAUUUCGUACUUGUCCUGUUGUCUUUGGUUCCUGAAGCAAUUUCGGAACAGCUUCCAACAGCUAAUGACCCCAUCCCAGAGGGGACCUGCCCCAUAUCCUGCAGGGAGGAACGCUGCCCUGCCUAUUAGCCUCUCAAGCCUUAUGGAAUAGUCUCCAUAAAGACCCAAGGACAGUUUGAGAGAGCUCCUGCAGAGCUGAACACCGGAGGUUCCUGAAGGGGGCGUUCCCGGAGAGGACAUGGGAGGCCCUGACCCCCGACACACACACCUUGCGCAUCUCAUCACC